UCCAUUCACACCCAGCCCAAACGACCAGCCAGUCCAGUCCCCACAUCCACAUCCACCAAACGACAUCGUUUUGAGACCCCAUCAUCCCAGCCGUUGAUUUCACCCCAAUCCAACGGUUCCAAACACCACCCAAAUCCAUACAUAUAUGCCCAAACCCUUUCAGUAUACACACGACCAAACAUCACCCUCCUCGUACCCUCUUCUCCGGCUGUAACGCCGUCUCUUGACCACCACCGACCACCUAUUGACCACCUGUCACCACCUUUGACCACCGGCCUACCACCAUACUGCCGCCGCCGGAAAUCUCCCCACGGCGGCGGCCGGCAACCAAACGGCCCCAAUAUUUCACCAUUUAACCACCAUGGCCUCCUCUACCCCGUCACAUAAUCAGUUCCUUUGGAACACCACCCCUCCGCCUCGAAUAUCCAUUCAAAGGUCGCCGGAAACCCUACCUCCGGUGACAUACUGCCGCCGUCGGAAAUCUCCCCACGGCGACGGCCGACAACCAAACAGCCCCAAGAUUACACCUUUUAACCACCAUGGCCUCCUCUAACCCGUCCCAUAAUCAGUUCCCUUCGAACACCACCCCUCCGCCUCGAAUAUCCAUUCAAAGGUCGCCAGAAACCCUACCUCCGGUGACCUCAUUCCAAAGUCGGUCAAAAUUACACCACUGAGACACCCUGACUUCCUCAUUCCAACCAUGCACCUCACCACCCUAAAAUUCCCAUGGAACUCCUCGAAUCUUCAUCCGAAGCUAAACCUUAUAUCCCAAACUUGUAGGAAAAGCCUCAAAACUCUCCCAGAUAGUCUUUGACCCUCCUUAACACCAACCAUGCCACCUUCGAGUCUUAAACGACACCCAGCCGCUCAAAAUCCCAAAUC
rnacentral:lncRNA from 1 species